rnacentral:rRNA from 1 species
CAGUCGCCGCGGGAAUACAGAGGGUGCGAGCGUUAAUCGGAUUUACUGGGCGUAAAGCGUGCGUAGGCGGCUUUUUAAGUCGGAUGUGAAAUCCCUGAGCUUAACUUAGGAAUUGCAUUCGAUACUGGGAAGCUAGAGUAUGGGAGAGGAUGGUAGAAUUCCAGGUGUAGCGGUGAAAUGCGUAGAGAUCUGGAGGAAUACCGAUGGCGAAGGCAGCCAUCUGGCCUAAUACUGACGCUGAGGUACGAAAGCAUGGGGAGCAAACAGGAUUAGAUACCCGCGUAGUCCCUGUCUCUUAUAC